rnacentral:rRNA from 1 species
UACGAAGGGGGCUAGCGUUGCUCGGAUUGACUGGGCGUAAAGGGCGCGUAGGCGGUUCGUACAGUCAGACGUGAAAUUCCUGGGCUCAACCUGGGGGCUGCGUUUGAUACGUGCGGACUUGAGUGCGGAAGAGGGUCGUGGAAUUCCCAGUGUAGAGGUGAAAUUCGUAGAUAUUGGGAAGAACACCGGUGGCGAAGGCGGCGACCUGGUCCGAUACUGACGCUGAGGCACGAAAGCGUGGGGAUCAAACAGG